rnacentral:lncRNA from 1 species
CGGCCGCCCGUCCAAUCAGAGGCGCCGCACCGUCGCGUCACUGUCCGGGGGACCGUCCGCGGGAAUUUGAAGUGGCUGCCUGGGCUGCCGGGAGAUGGAGGCUCGGGGUCGCGUGCACUUGGCGGCCGGGGAGGUGCCAGUGCCCGGGAGGAAGGUGACAGAUGUGGCCAUUUCAGCCUUGAAGGCAGUGGUGCAGCUUGCUGAGCCAUACCUCUGUGAAUCUUGAGCAAGCACUUUCACCUUGGAGUGUAUGAGAGAGCUCCUCGAGCUGAAGGAACAUCAGUUGCUCCUGCAGGAGCUGGGUGGUGUUUGAUGAUUCUGGAGUGUUUGACUAGACAGCACUUGCAACUGAGCAUGUCAGGUAUGAAGGAGGUAUCUGGUCAGAGAAGGUGUUUUCUGAGGCUGCUUCCCGGAUCCCUAGGGGAUGUGUUCCUGCCAUUCAGCCUUUUUGGCAGUUAUUUCCACUUGUACAAGCAGACUUUUGUCACUUACCUGAGAAAGAAAGCCCACACCUGGAUUAAUAUUAAUAGGUAUGAUUUAAAAUUUUUUUCAGAUAAAUCUUCUAUCAGAUAGUGCCUGAUACAGAUAGUUCUUUUGGAUUUUCUAUAUAUAAGUAUAUUCACUGUAGAGGGCUACUUUUAGCCAUGUAAAAAUGGACUUAUAUUCUUCUAGUAACUGGAAGACUGGCUAAUGCAAUGAUCAUAAUAGUUAAUAAUGUUGCUUGGUGUUUUGUAGUUUUGAAAGUACUUUCCUGUUUCUAUACCAUUAGUCAGCUAACCAGGUUUUGCUAAGCUUAGUUUACAUACUUGAUAAAGAAGCAGAGUGCCUCAGACGCUGCUUCUGACAUCUUAUGGACAAUCUCUAAUUGCAUGCAAGAACAUUUAACCCUGGUGUUCAGUUUUAAGCCAAGCAAUAUAAAUCUAAAGAACUGGUUUCUGUCCAGGACCAAAAUAACUCCCUUAUGUUUCUCUUGCUUUAAAAUAGUCUGUCAGUCGAAGCAUUUGAAGGUGAAGGGAUAACUGAUGAGUUUAGGAAAUUAGGAGAGAGGGUGCCAAUCUCUACGGGUAUAGAAGUUGGUAGAAAGACAAGUACCUGGAACUGGUAAGAGUUCCUGUUAAGGAAGAGGAGCCUGAAUUUUUUUUUUUUUUUUUGAGACGGAGUCUUUGCUGUGUCACCCAGGCUGAAGUUCAGUGGCGCGGUCUCAGCUCACUGCAAGCUUGCCUCCUGGGUUCACGCCAUUCUCCUGCCUCAGCCUCCCGAGUAGCUGGGACUACAGGCGCCCGCUACCAUGCCCGGCUAAUUUUUUGUAUUUUUAGUAGAGACGGGGUUUCACCGUGUUAGCCAGGAUGGUCUGGAUCUCCUGACCUUGUGAUCCGCCUGUCUCGGCCUCCCAAAGUGCUGGGAUUACAGGCGUGAGCCACCAGGCCUGGCCAAGAGGAGCCUGAUUACAUUUACUCUCCAUGUUGAGGACUCAGAUUCUGGUCAGUGACUAGAGAAGGUCAAAUUAUGAGGGUUUUCAUUUGCCCAUUGAUUCGGUAAGUGUGGAGUGCUGGGUUCUCAGUUGAGGGUGGGGUAUGACUGGUGCACAAAACCAACACCUUUGUCGGGGAGCUGCCAGUCUACAGGUGGGAGGUGAAGCUGUAUAGAAUAAUCACAUAAGGAUGCAGAUGCAAUUGGAAGGAGCCGUGAGCACCAUGAAGAAUUUCAGAGUGUCCUAAGACUGGGUCAGGUUGCCGUUCUGUGCUUAUUUCCGGAAGAAAUGACAUUCGAAUUUAGGUCUAAAAGGUGAAAGGAGUGGCAGGUGAAAGGGGUGGCGGAGAUGGGGGAACAGGUUCAGGAACUCAGUGGGUUUAAGGAGCUGCAAGGUCAAUGUGGCCAGAACAUAGUGCUGGGAGAGGCAUAGGAAGUCAGGGUAGAGAGGUUGGCAGGGCUCAGACAGUGCAGGGCUCUGUCAACCAGUGAAUCAUUUUGUAAGAGCAUGAAAAACCAUUGAGGGGUUUUUAUUUUGGGGUGAAUAUGACUUGCUUUGUGUUUUUAAAGGUUCAUUCUGGCUGCUGUGUGGAAAACAAAUGGAGGGAGAUGGAUAGGGAGGUGGGGAUACGGAAGGGUCUAGAGUGAGGAUAUGGAGAAAUCUAGAGUGGGGAUAUGGAGGGGUCCAGAGUGGGG